rnacentral:rRNA from 1 species
CGCCAGACUCCUACGGGAGGCAGCAGUGAGGAAUAUUGGUCAAUGGGCGCGAGCCUGAACCAGCCAAGUCGCGUGAGGGAUGACGGCCCUACGGGUUGUAAACCUCUUUUGCCGGGGAGCAACGGGCGCCACGUGUGGCGCCACUGAGAGUACCCGGAGAAAAAGCAUCGGCUAACUCCGUGCCAGCAGCCGCGGUAAUACGGAGGAUGCGAGCGUUAUCCGGAUUUAUUGGGUUUAAAGGGUGCGUAGGCGGAUCUUUAAGUCAGGGGUCAAAGUGGGGGGCUCAACCCCUCCCCGCCAUUGAAACUGGCGCUCUUGAGUGGAAGAGAAGUAUGCGGAAUGCGUGGUGUAGCGGUGAAAUGCAUAGAUAUCACGCAGAACCCCGAUUGCGAAGGCAGCAUGCCGGCUUCCGACUGACGCUGAAGCACGAAAGCGUGGGGAUCGAACAGGAUUAGAUACCCUGGUAU